ACAGUUCAAGUUCGAAUGUCCU
rnacentral:snRNA from 1 species